rnacentral:rRNA from 1 species
AAGGGUGGGGAUGACGUACAAAUCAUCAUCGCCCCUUAUGAUCUGGGCUACACACGUGCUACAAUGGCCGGUACAACGGGCAGCGAAGGAGCGAUCCGGAGCGAAUCCUAAAAAGCCGGUCCCAGUUCGGAUUGCAGGCUGAAACUCGCCUACAUGAAGUUGGAGUUGCUAGUAAUCGCGAAUCAGAAUGUCGCGGUGAAUGCGUUCCCGGGUCUU